rnacentral:rRNA from 1 species
GACGAACGCUGGCGGCGUGCUUAACACAUGCAAGUCGAACGAUGAAGCCGGAGCUUGCUCCGGUGGAUUAGUGGCGAACGGGUGAGUAACACGUGAGCAAUCUGCCCUUGACUCUGGGAUAACUGCGGGAAACUGUAGCUAAUACCGGAUACGACACCUUGGGGCAUCCCAGGGUGUGGAAAGAAUUUCGGUCAAGGAUGAGCUCGCGGCCUAUCAGCUAGUUGGUGAGGUAAUGGCUCACCAAGGCGACGACGGGUAGCCGGCCUGAGAGGGUGACCGGCCACACUGGAACUGAGACACGGUCCAGACUCCUACGGGAGGCAGCAGUGGGGAAUAUUGCACAAUGGGCGAAAGCCUGAUGCAGCAACGCCGCGUGAGGGAUGAAGGCCUUCGGGUUGUAAACCUCUUUUAGCAGGGAAGAAGCGAAAGUGACGGUACCUGCAGAAAAAGCACG